AUGACCAAGUAGAUCCGAUUUAUCCUUUGUGUGGUCUGUCCACUUCCAAUGGGAGCAAAGUGGAAAUUAUCAGAAGCAUAGAAAAAGAGUGAGAACAACAGGUAGGAAAAAAAGACUCAACAAUUAUUGCAACACCAACAUCUUAUGACUCUUCUUCUUCAUCAAACAAAAUUUCUCAGCAUAUGAUAAAUAUUCCCAUGAAAUGAAGAGAAAAACAGAAGAAAAAAAUUGGAACUCCAAAAACCACGUCAUCCAUCACUGUUUUGUCAACAGCAGAAGAACACUGCUACUGAACUUCCACCUAGAGCACCAUCUUACAAAAGCUCGACAUUCAGUAAGAGAAAAGAGAGAAAGAUCUUAUCUUAACAUUUACUUCUCAAGCCGUGGUCUAAUUUUCUUCUGUGUGGCUAUCAUUUAAACUCAGAAUUGGAGACUUGACUAGCUGAGAGUAUAGCAGUCGUAGUUGGAUCAUACUUGAGUCAACCUGAUAUAAAUCACUAGGAUCCACUGUCUCGAACCAGCUUGGUGGGUAGGCCAGUGAUUGUAUCAUCAGAUGCUGAUUACAACUAUAACCUUCUUCAACAAGAAGGAAAAUUGGUUGAAAGAUGCUACAUGGAUUCCUUUGCCAAGCUUCUUCACCAAGAUGCCACAUCAGUUAUUUCGAAACAUGGUUCCAUACACAAAUACCCCAGGAACUUAGUCUUGGCUUAUUUUGGCCCUGGGCCCCUCAAAGAUAAGCUGCUGCCAUAGUUAGAAACUGCUAUAAGCCAAGCAUUGCAGGAUUGGUCUAAGCGACCAACUGUAUAAGUGAAGAGAGCCAGUUCAUCUGUAAAUCAAUUUUGAGCUUAAAUUUCCAGUUACCUUUUGAAUAACUCCUAAAUUGUAGCUCUACAUUGAUGGAAUGAAGCAUCAUAAGCGCUGCUGUUUUUUCAUGCCUCGCAAUAAGACUUGUAGCUACUAUGACUGCCUCAACAUCUUUUUCUCCAUUUUUUCCCAAAAACUUGCAGAUGAAAUUUGAUUUUACUGCAAAAGUAUCGUUCAGUUAUGAAUCAGAAAAAUCAGGGGAAAAUAUAGCUGAAAGUUUCACCUACUUCUUGCUAGGACUCAUGUCAAUCUCUUUGAAUAUUCCUGGCACAGCAUUUCAGAGAUGUUCAAAGAACCAGAAGAGGGCUAUAAAACCAAUAACUGCUAGAAGAGGGACGGCGCCAUCCAGAGAUCCGCAAAGGAGAUUUUCUUGAUCAAAUUGUGGAAGACAUGCAAAAGGAAAAUUUUUGGACAGAUGAGUUUGCCAUUUACAUGAUGUUUGGGCUGCUCCUUGCCAGCUUUGAUACUAUAUCCUCCACACUUGCUUUAGCCAUUUAAUUUCUCACAGACUACCCUCCAGUGGUGCAGAAGCUGACGGUAAGUAAACUAAAAAUUACUGAAAACUCUUGAAAACAAGUUGUUGAUGAAGAUUGAUUCUGUACCUUCCCAAGUGGAGCACGAGAGAAUCCUUGAGAGAAGAAAAGGUACAGAUUCUGGACUUCCAGGAAAGAAUAUAAAUCCAUGACCCAUACCCAUCAUGUUGUUAACGAAUCACUCAGGUUGGCAAGUGUUGCUCCAGGAAUGCUUAGAAGGGCCAUAAAAGACAUUCAAGUUGAAGGAUACACAAUCCCUAAAGGCUGGACUAUCAUGGUUGUUCCAGCAGCUGUUCAAUUAAAUCCCAACACCUAUAAAGAUCCCCUUGCCUUUGAUCCAUCAAGAUGGGAUAACACGGGAGCUAUUGCAACUGCAAAGAUCUUCAUAGCUUUUGGAGGAGGCUUAAGGUCAUGUGCUGGAGUAGAGUUCAGUAGGGUUUUAAUGCCUGUAUUCUUACAUUUCUUAGUCUCCAAAUAGAGGUGGAGAAAAGUCAAGGGAAGAGACAUGGUUAGAUCUCCAGCUUUGGGAUUCUGCAACGGUUUCCACAUUCAGAUUGAAGGAAAGCAAGGACGAAUGCUUAAUUUUGCUUCAGAAUAUAAUGAAGAAGACAUCAUCAAAGACCAGAACAUCAGAGAAGUUUGUCGUUCUUAAUUACAGUUUGCCUUGCAUGUUUCUUCUCCAAUUUAUGUUAUAAAGUAAUAGCCAUGUACUUCUACAACUUAGCUUCGGUGAUGGUUGAAUCUGAAAUAAUUAAGUUCAUGCUGUAACGUGACGGAGUCAGCCAUGCUCUAAAGCAAAUGUAAGGAUCUCUUAUGGUUUGUUGUUAUUGGAAGCAUUAUCAAUUUACAAAGUUAA